rnacentral:rRNA from 1 species
GUCCACGCCCUAAACGAUGUCAACUAGGUGUUGGGAGCGCAAGUUCUCAGUACCGCAGCUAACGCGUGAAGUUGACCGCCUGGGGAGUACGGUCGCAAGAUUAAAACUCAAAGGAAUUACGGGGACCCGCACAAGCGGUGGAUGAUGUGGAUUAAUUCGAUGCAACGCGAACAACCUUACCUACCCUUGACAUGUCCGGAAAGGCUGCUGAAAGGCGGCGGUGCCCGAAAGGGACCGGAACACAGGUGCUGCAAUGGCUGUCGU